rnacentral:rRNA from 1 species
GAUGAACGCUGGCGGCGUGCCUAAUACAUGCAAGUCGAACGCACAGCGAAAGGUGCUUGCACCUUUCAAGUGAGUGGCGAACGGGUGAGUAACACGUGGACAACCUGCCUCAAGGCUGGGGAUAACAUUUGGAAACAGAUGCUAAUACCGAAUAAAACUCAGUGUCGCAUGGCACAAAGUUAAAAGGCGCUUUGGCGUCACCUAGAGAUGGAUCCGCGGUGCAUUAGUUAGUUGGUGGGGUAAAGGCCUACCAAGACAAUGAUGCAUAGCCGAGUUGAGGGACUGAUCGGCCACAUUGGGACUGAGACACGGCCCAAACUCCUACGGGAGGCUGCAGUAGGGAAUCUUCCACAAUGGGCGAAAGCCUGAUGGAGCAACGCCGCGUGUGUGAUGAAGGCUUUCGGGUCGUAAAGCACUGUUGUAUGGGAAGAACAGCUAGAAUAGGGAAUGAUUUUAGUUUGACGGUACCAUACCAGAAAGGGACGGCUAAAUACGUGCCAGCCGCCGCGGUAA